UCGAUCUAGAAACACAGGGGCGACCAACUCACCCACAAACCCUAGUCUUGCAAUUUUCACCAAAUUGAGGGCUCCAAUCUAGUCUAAAUCGAUUUCCAAGCACGAAUUCGUGAUCACCUCGUUGAAGGGAUCAUAAGGCAAGGAAAUCCGGAUCGUCAAGUGGACAAGCCGGUGGAAACACGCAUUGGAAAGGAGCGCUUUAAAGGAAAUAACAUAUGUUGCGUUGCUCUAAUUAGAGAAUUUAAAGCAAGAGGUAUGUAAACGGGUCAAUGCUAUGACCCGAGCCAGGUGAAUGUCGAGAGCCCCGGAUGAAGAUCAAGU